UGGUGGAGUGAUUUGUCUGGUUAAUUCCGUUAACGAACGAGACCUUAACCUACUAAAUAGUUACGUGAUUUUCGAAUCACGGUCAACUUCUUAGAGGGACUAUCGGUUUUAACCGAUGGAAGUUUGAGGCAAUAACA
rnacentral:rRNA from 1 species